rnacentral:rRNA from 1 species
UACGGAGGGUGCGAGCAUUAAUCGGAUUUAUUGGGCGUAAAGGGCGCGUAGGCGGAGAUGUAAGUCAGAUGUGAAAUCCCGGGGCUCAACCCCGGAACAGCAUUUGAUACUGCUUCUCUCGAGGGUAGGCGGAGAAAAUGGAAUUCCACAAGUAGCGGUGAAAUGCGUAGAUAUGUGGAAGAACACCGGUGGCGAAGGCGAUUUUCUAGCUUAUACCUGACGCUGAUGCGCGAAAGCAAGGGGAUCAAACAG